rnacentral:misc_RNA from 1 species
AAGUCGUAACAAGGUUUCCGUAGGUGAACCUGCGGAAGGAUCAUUAACAAAUAAUCUACCAACCUUUGUGCAUUGGGCUGCGCGCGGCGCAGCCAUUUUCUACGUUAGUCUGAUUGCGCAAAAAUAAGAAUUUUUAACAAUGGAUCUCUAGGCUCCU